rnacentral:rRNA from 1 species
UACGUAGGGGGCAAGCGUUGUCCGGAAUCAUUGGGCGUAAAGAGCGUGUAGGCGGCUCGGUAAGUCCGCUCUGAAAGCCCGGGGCUCAACCCCGGGAGGCGGGCGGAUACUGUCGGGCUAGAGUCCGGAAGAGGCGAGUGGAAUUCCUGGUGUAGCGGUGAAAUGCGCAGAUAUCGGAAGGAACACCUGUGGCGAAAGCGGCUCACUGGACCAUUACUGACGCUGAUGCACGAAAGCUAGGGGAGCAAACAGG